rnacentral:sRNA from 1 species
GCCGGGCAGGGUGGCACAUACCUGUAAUCCCAGCAACUCAGGAGGCUGAGGCAGGAGGAUCACAAGUUUGAGGCCAGCCUCAGCAACUUAGCGAGACCCUGUCUCAA